rnacentral:rRNA from 1 species
GUGUCAGCAGCCGCGGUAAUACGUAGGGUGCGAGCGUUAAUCGGAAUUACUGGGCGUAAAGGGUGCGCAGGCGGUUAUAUAAGACAGAUGUGAAAUCCCCGGGCUCAACCUGGGAACUGCGUUUGUGACUGUAUGACUAGAGUACGGUAGAGAGGGGUGGAAUUCCUGGUGUAGCAGUGAAAUGCGUAGAUAUCAGGAGGAACAUCGAUGGCGAAGGCAGCCCCUUGGACCUGUACUGACGCUCAUGCACGAAAGCGUGGGGAGCAAACAGGAUUAGAUACCCUGGUAGUCC